GUCAUCUGGGGUGUGGCUGUUUGAGGAUGGACUCCAGGUCACAGAGCCCCAGGAAUUGUUUGUAGACUGUCAUGUGUAUCUACAUGAGUCUGCAAACCGGCAGCACCGGACUCACCAAGGUCGAGAAGCGUGAUCGCUGCUGUUCCCUGCGUGCACACUGAGUGGUGUGCUAAGGACCUGCCCUGCAGGAGCAUGCAGGAGCCUCCCAGCAACUCUCCGAGGAGGCUCCAAAUGGAGAACCUGGAAGUCAGAGAGGCGACGUCACUCACCCAAGGUCUCCCAGCUCCUAGCUGGUUCCAACCCAGGAUAUCACAUUGCAUUUUGUCAUGUCUCCUUGAUUUCUUCUGGUCUGUGACAGUUUCUGUCUUCCCCCAGAUUUUCUCAGUCUUUCUCAAGUCAUGACCUCGAGCUUUGAGGAGAACUAGUGAAGUAUUUUGUGAAUGUCCCUCAGUUUGUGUUUGUCUGUAUUUUUUUCAUGAUUAGCUCGGGUAUGAGCUUGGGAAAAGAUGCCCAGAGGUGUGUGGAGCCCUCCUUAGUCCAUUAUAUCAGGAGGUACAUGAGAUUCCCGUGAUUAAAGUAUUAGCCUUAAUGUA